rnacentral:rRNA from 1 species
AGAGUUUGAUCCUGGCUCAGAUUGAACGCUGGCGGCAGGCCUAACACAUGCAAGUCGAGCGGAUGACGGGAGCUUGCUCCUUGAUUCAGCGGCGGACGGGUGAGUAAUGCCUAGGAAUCUGCCUGGUAGUGGGGGACAACGUUUCGAAAGGAACGCUAAUACCGCAUACGUCCUACGGGAGAAAGCAGGGGACCUUCGGGCCUUGCGCUAUCAGAUGAGCCUAGGUCGGAUUAGCUAGUUGGUGGGGUAAUGGCUCACCAAGGCGACGAUCCGUAACUGGUCUGAGAGGAUGAUCAGUCACACUGGAACUGAGACACGGUCCAGACUCCUACGGGAGGCAGCAGUGGGGAAUAUUGGACAAUGGGCGAAAGCCUGAUCCAGCCAUGCCGCGUGUGUGAAGAAGGUCUUCGGAUUGUAAAGCACUUUAAGUUGGGAGGAAGGGCAGUAAGUUAAUACCUUGCUGUUUUGACGUUACCGACAGAAUAAGCACCGGCUAACUCUGUGCCAGCAGCCGCGGUAAU